UGAUAGCACAUUUAUGCAUAUAGUAUUUUUAGCCUUUUUGAGUCACAAAUUAAACAUAUGAUCACAGUAAUCACUCAUAAAGUAUUCAUUCCUACAGAAAUAUUCCUAUUAUGAUAUUUUUACAACACUUAUUCAUUUUUUGCAGGACUGGUGCGUUUAGGCACCCAAAUUUUGUCAAAAGUGCUUUCAACACUAAAGCGGGGAUCAACUUGGAGAAGAGUUCAGUUCUGGAGGGGCAAAACCAAAAAGAACCAGAGGAGCUGGGGUCUGGUGCG
rnacentral:rRNA from 1 species